rnacentral:rRNA from 1 species
GACGAACGCUGGCGGCGUGCUUAACACAUGCAAGUCGAGCGGUAAGGCCCUUUCGGGGGUACACGAGCGGCGAACGGGUGAGUAACACGUGGGUGACCUGCCCUCAGCUCUGGGAUAAGCCUGGGAAACCGGGUCUAAUACUGGAUAUGACUCCAUGACGCAUGUUGUGGGGUGGAAGGCCUUGUGCGGCUGAGGAUGGGCCCGCGGCCUAUCAGCUUGUUGGUGGGGUGANGGCCUACCAAGGCGACGACGGGUAGCCGGCCUGAGAGGGCGACCGGCCACACUGGGACUGAGACACGGGCCCAGACUCCUACGGGAGGCAGCAGUGGGGAAUCUUGCGCAAUGGGCGAAAGCCUGACGCAGCGACGCCGCGUGAGGGAUGACGGCC